rnacentral:rRNA from 1 species
GAUGAACGCUAGCUACAGGCUUAACACAUGCAAGUCGAGGGGCAGCACGGAGAUAGCUUGCUAUCUUGGGUGGCGACCGGCGCACGGGUGAGUAACGCGUAUCCAACCUGCCCAUUACUCAGGGAUAGCCUUGCGAAAGUAAGAUUAAUAUCUGAUGUUGUUAAAAACCCGCAUGAGUUUUUAACCAAAGAUUUAUUGGUAAUGGAUGGGGAUGCGUGACAUUAGGUAGUAGGUGAGGUAACGGCUCACCUAGCCGACGAUGUCUAGGGGUUCUGAGAGGAAGGUCCCCCANACUGGAACUGAGACACGGUCCAGACUCCUACGGGGAGCAGCAGUGAGGAAUAUUGGUCAAGUGGACGAGAGUCUGAACCAGCCAAGUAGCGUGCAGGAUGACCGGCCCUC